rnacentral:rRNA from 1 species
AUUGAACGCUGGCGGCAGGCCUAACACAUGCAAGUCGAACGAGUGGCGGACGGGAGAGCAAUGUCUGUGAAACUGCCUGAUGGAGAGGGAUAAGUACUGGGAACGGUAGCCAAUACCGCACAACAUCAGAUGUGCACAGAUGGGAUUAGCUUGUUGGUGGGGUAACGGCGCACAAAGGCGACGAUCCCUAGCUGGUCUGAGAGGAUGACCAGCCACACUGGAACUGAGACACGGUCCAGACUCCUACGGGAGGCAGCAGUGGGGAAUAUUGCACAAUGGGCGCAAGCCGGAUGCAGCCAUGCCGCGUGUAUGAAGAAGGCCUUCGGGUUGUAAAGUACUGUCAGCGGGGAGGCGUUACCCGCAGAAGAAGCACCGGCUAACUCCGUGCCAGCAGCCGCGGUAAUAC